rnacentral:tRNA from 1 species
UUUAAUAUGGCAGAUUAGUGCAAUGAAUUUAAGUUUCAUUUAUAUAAAUUUUUAUUUAUUAUUAAAA